GGAGAGAUGGCCGAGAUGGUCGAAGGCGCUCGACUCGAAAUCGAGUAGACCGUUAGUAGCGGUCUCCAGGGUUCGAAUCCCUGUCUCUCCGCCA
rnacentral:tRNA from 1 species